AACUUUUGGCAAUCGAUCUCUUGGCUCUCGCAUCGAUGAAGAACGCAGCGAAAUGCGAUAAGUAAUGUGAAUUGCAGAAUUCAGUGAAUCAUCGAAUCUUUGAACGCACCUUGCACCCUUUGGCAUUCCGAAGGGUAUGCUCGUUUGAGUGUCAUUGUACUCUCACACUCCCGAUGCUUUUGGAUUGGGAGUGGUGGACUUGGGUGUUGCUGCUUUACUGUGGCUCACCUCAAAUGGAGUAGUGCAACUCUUGGUUGGACAUAGUACGGCGUGAUAAGUGUCUUCGCCGGCGCCUCAUUAGAGGGUGGCCGAUCGGGAGCUCUGUGCUUCAAACCGUCUUCGGACAACAUCUGACAACUUGACCUCAAAUCGAGUAGGACUACCCGCUGAACUUAAGCAUAUCAAUAAGCGGAGGCU
rnacentral:misc_RNA from 1 species